rnacentral:rRNA from 1 species
UGGGGAAUCUUGCACAAUGGGGGCAACCCUGAUGCAGCGACGCCGCGUGAGCGAUGAAGCCCUUCGGGGCGUAAAGCUCUUUCGACCGGAACGAUAAUGACGGUACCGGGAGAAGAAGCUGCGGCUAACUACGUGCCAGCAGCCGCGGUAAUACGUAGGCAGCAAGCGUUGUUCGGAGUUACUGGGCGUAAAGAGUGCGUAGGCGGUUUUCUAAGUUCGGUGUGAAAUCUCCCGGCUUAACUGGGAGGGUGCGCCGAAGACUGGGAAGCAGGAGUGUUGGAAAGGCAGGCGGAAUUCCUGGUGUAGCGGUGAAAUGCGUAGAUAUCAGGAGGAACACCGGCGGUGUAGACGGCCUGCUAGACCAUAACUGACGCUGAGGCACGAAAGCGUGGGUAGCAAACA